rnacentral:rRNA from 1 species
CGGACGGGUGAGUAAUGUCUGGGAAACUGCCCGAUGGAGGGGGGUAACUACUGGAAACGGUAGCUAAUACCGCAUAACGUCGCAAGACCAAAGAGGGGGACCUUCGGGCCUCUUGCCAUCGGAUGUGCCCAGAUGGGAUUAGCUAGUAGGUGGGGUGACGGCUCACCUAGGCGACGAUCCCUAGCUGGUCUGAGAGGAUGACCAGCCACACUGGAACUGAGACACGGUCCAG